rnacentral:rRNA from 1 species
GAUGAACGCUGGCGGAGUGCCUAAUACAUGCAAGUCGAGCGAAGCGGGGGCGGGUGAGUAACACGUAGAUAACCUCCUAUUAGACUGGGCUAACUUCGGGGAACCGGAGCUAAACCGGUUACUUUUAGAUUGCUCUGCGCUGCAUUAGCUGGUUGGUAAGGUAACGGCUUACCAAGGCUACGAUGCCUAGCCGACCUGAGAGGGUGAGUGGCCACACUGGAACGGAGAUACGGUCCAGACUCCUACGGGAGGCAGCAGUAGGGAAUCUGCCGCAAUGGGCGAAAGCCUGACGGAGCAACGCCGCGUGAGUGAUGAAGGUCUUCGGUGCGUAAGACUCUGUUAUUAGGGAAGCGGUACCUAAUCAGAAAGCCACGGCUAACUACGUGCCAGCAGCCGCGGUAAUUC